CACGUAGGGGGCAAGCGUUGUCCGGAUUUAUUGGGCGUAAAGAGCUCGUAGGCGGCUCAGUAAGUCGGGUGUGAAACCUCCAGGCUCAACCUGGAGACGCCACCUGAUACUGCUGUGGCUAGAGUCCGGUAGGGGAGCGUGGAAUUCCUGGUGUAGCGGUGAAAUGCGCAGAUAUCAGGAGGAACACCAGCGGCGAAGGCGACUCUCUGGUCUGUAACUGACGCUGAGGAGCGAAAGCGUGGGGAGCAAACAGG
rnacentral:rRNA from 1 species